UGCCUAAUACAUGCAAGUCGAACGGAAUAUGUUCAGGUGGUAACACCUGGGCAUAUUUAGUGGCGAACGGGUGAGUAACACGUGAGAAAUCUGCCCUGAAGACGGGGAUAACAGGAGGAAACCCCUGCUAAUACCCGAUAUCCCCACCGGAUCGCAUGGUCUGGUGAGGAAAUGGAUUCCGCUUCAGGAGGGUCUCGCGGCCUAUCAGCUUGUUGGUGGGGUAACGGCCUACCAAGGCUUCGACGGGUAGCUGGUCUGAGAGGACGAUCACCCACAUUGGGACUGAGACACGGCCCAGACUCCUACGGGAGGCAGCAGUAAGGAAUAUUGCGCAAUGGGCGAAAGCCUGACGCAGCAACGCCGCGUGCGGGACGAAGGCCCUCGGGUUGUAAACCGC
rnacentral:rRNA from 1 species